AUGGCGUUGGGAGAAAUAUGUUGCACUAUCGAUAUAAGCAAGACUAGGAGCUCUUCAAAAACAGCAGGCUUCCUGUUUUUUCUUUUAUUGCAAAUGAGUCUGCUCUCUAAAGUAUGGACAACUUCCACAACAGCUAGUCCAGCAACCACUCUGAAAACAGAUGCCAAAUCAUCUACAGUGUCAGACCCUGUUACCCAGAGUUUGACAACUCAGUCUACGUAUCCGGUAAGCAUGUCCUCCUCCAUUUCUACUGACCAGAUGGCCACAUCAGGCUCUACAGUGACAGGAGCUUCAUCCACCUCAACACAGAACACUGCUUCUAACAGUGCUACUGUCGCCUCAGCUGGUAUUACUAGUAUGGAGACAGCAAACAUAUCUUCUUCAGAAAAUUACACGGCGCUAUCCUGUCCAGCAUUUGCUUGCACAAAAGAUUGUUAUGACCAGUUCAUGAAUAUGACGGCGAAGCCCUGCCAAUCCAGUGAAUACUUCUGUAAGAUAAUGAAAGGCGAUGCAGGUUACUCUGUCAGCUGCAGUGCCUCAUGUGGCGUGCCCUGUGAGAACGGGACUCUUAGUAAUUGCUCUGUCAACUGUUGCAACACAACUAACUGCCUCAACAACAGUCUGCUUGCCAUGUUCAAUUCACUCAAUACCACAGCUACAACAAAACCAACUACUACAACCACAACCAUAAAGACCACAGUUCCAACCACCCCAGCAAGCAAUGUAAGAACACACAAAGCUAUUUGUCACUUUAGGGCAAAAAUGAACAUUUUCUGCCACCUUCUGACUUUUCUUUGCUUUUCUUACUCCCAAAAGGGCAAGAAGUGUCAUAAUUUCAAGUGUAAUGGAGCAGCGUGUUACAAAGCCAAUGUCGCCAGUAAUGCUGCAUGUCCAGUUGGUCUGGACUACUGCAUGCUACAAAAGACAACAUCUGGCACCACAGAAAGCUGGCAGGCGGGUUGCAGUACAGAUUGCAGAAAGAUGACAGCUUGUUCAAGCACCAGUACUGCCUGUCACCUGGAGUGCUGCAAUGCCACUACCACCUCAUGCCUCAAACUGACAGGUGAAGUGAACAUGCCCAGCUCUGCCACCAGGAGUCCUCACUGUCCCGCACUGCUCAUGGCCUCUUUGCUGUUCUUCUGGAUAGUCAAAAUCUUAAAUUGAGCAUAACAGUUACAUUUAAUAUGCAAUCCAUUCUGUUAGGAGAGUGUGUGUGUCUUAAAGCUGAUUGUACUUCUUUUACUGUCACUUUUACAUUCUUUGUGAUGUAAGCAAAUUAAGGUGUGUGUGUGUCUAUAAGAUCAACAUGAGAAGCAGAAUGUAUGUAUAUAUAUAUAUAUAUAUAUAUAUAUAUAUAUAUGUGUGUGUGUGUGUGUGUGUGUGUGUGUGUGUGUGUGUGUGUGUGUGUAGAUGCCAAAUAAGCUUUACCAUUGGCAUCUGUAUGUGUGAGAGCUACAUCAAGUGGGAACAUGUUGGAUUCUUUCUAUCACAGAGUUAGACAGAAAUGAUCCAAAGAGGAAUAUAUUAACAAUGCAGUGACAAAUAUGAGGUUUGCUUCCUCUCACGAGUUGUGUAUGUUUGAUUAAUUCUUGCUCUUUUUUGCCGUUAAUGUACACUGUAAGAAAAAUAAAUAUGUAGAAAAUGGACA
ensembl:lncRNA